UAGGAGGACCAAUGAGAAGAAACAUCCUGUCCUGCAGCAUAUCUGGAGCUAAAUAUAAUUCAGAGAAGAAAAUUAUUGAAAAAGUAUGUAUUUAAUAGAAAUAACUUUGCCUCUGAGAAAUAAAAAUUAAAAAUAACAGUGACUAAAACAGGAUAAAGGCAUAUUCCCCUUCUUAUGUAAAAUUCCACAGGUAAGUAUCCAGUCCAGGGUCUACUCCAUGAAAUUCUUAGAGACCCAGCUCCUUUCAGCUUACUGCUCUGUCAUCUUGAGGAUGUGGCCGUGGCCUUCAUGGUCCAAGAUAGCAGCUGGAUCCCCUGCCAUUACAUUCUUAUUCCAGACAGAAGGAUAGAGGUUGGGGCAAAGAGAAGAGACAAGGGGUACAGCUGCACCACAUGCCUCCAAGUCUUGAAGUGUAGAAGCAGCGGAAGGAGUAGGAAGCAGAGCACGGAUGGUAGGCUGCCCCUGAAGAACGGACCUGGGUGAGCAACAAAGUUGCAUGGAUGGAGAAGAGGGAGAGAUCAGGGGUAUCAAAGACCACCAAAGACUCCAGGCUGGGCGUUGGGACAAUGGUAAUGUGCUUAUCUGAGAUAUAUGAGACAAAACAGAGAGAGUUUGGGAACAGAUAACGCAUUUGAAUUUGGAGGUGUUGAACUGGAAUUGAUGUCUAGCAAACAGUUGUAAACUUGGGUCUGAAACUGAGGAAGACACCAAGUCCCUACACGUACAUGUAAAAGGUGCCGGUGUGGUGUGACAGCAGCAGUACAGCGUUUGUGAGGUCUCCGGAGAAAAAGGGACGUGGUGAGAGAAACAAGUGCCUGCGUGAGAACCUUAGUUAACACCCUUAUUGCUUGGAUACAACAAGGAACCAGAACAAGAUCUGGAAAAGGGCUGCCAGAAAACAGGAGAAACAGGAACGUAGCACAUCACAGGAACUGUAGAAGGUGACGGUCCCAAAGUUCACAAGUAGCUGAGCGGUGAGAGGGUCAUCAGUGAUGUCUUCAGGAACAGUGACCUCUUGCAGAGCGUCAGGUAGGGAGGGAGCAGAACAAUGGUGGGCUAGGAGGAGAGAACAGAGACGAGCUGGUGUGUCCUCCCUGGAGAAAUUGUCAUUGAAGAGAAGGAAAAGUUA
rnacentral:lncRNA from 1 species